rnacentral:rRNA from 1 species
UACGAAGGGGGCUAGCGUUGUUCGGAAUUACUGGGCGUAAAGCGCACGUAGGCGGAUAUUUAAGUCAGGGGUGAAAUCCCAGAGCUCAACUCUGGAACUGCCUUUGAUACUGGGUAUCUUGAGUAUGGAAGAGGUAAGUGGAAUUGCGAGUGUAGAGGUGAAAUUCGUAGAUAUUCGCAGGAACACCAGUGGCGAAGGCGGCUGACUGGACAUGUAUUGACGCUGAGGUGCGAAAGCGUGGGGAGCAAACAGG